GGAGUCAUAGCUCAGUGGUAGAGCGAAGGAUUGCAGUAAAGUCUUCACUUUCCGGAGUAGUUAUCCUUAGGUCGCCGGUUCGAACCCGGCUGGCUCCU
rnacentral:tRNA from 1 species